GGAUGUGAGGGUGAUAUGAUCUCCAUUGAUCACCAGGUUAAAUCUGGCUAAUCUGGCUGGCUAGGCAGGUGUCCUCUUCCUCCCUCACCACUCCGUGUGCAUGCCUCCCAAAGCAGCUGCUCUAUUAAAGAGGAUAACCUUCCCCAAUAGAAGAGGAUAGUUCUUUGGUCAGGGUAUAAGAGUAGCUGUUCCCCUGCUAGAACCUCCAAACACUCUAUCAAAGAAAUCUUAAAAUUCAAAAAUGAGGAAAUAAAUAAUCCAAUUACAAAAAUGAUCAGGGGCUGUGGCUGUGGCUCAGGGGCUGUGGCU
ensembl:misc_RNA 7SK 7SK RNA